rnacentral:rRNA from 1 species
CUAGUCAUAUGGAUGUGUCAGCAGCGCGCGGUAAUACGAAGGGUGCAAGCGUUACUCGGAUUUACUGGGCGUAAAGCGCGCGCAGGCGGACAGUUAAGCCAGAUGUGAAAUCCCAGGGCUCAACCCUGGAACUGCGUCUGGAACUGGUUGUCUAGAAUACUGGAGAGGGAAUGGGAAUUUCUCAUGUAGGGGUAAAAUCCGUAGAGAUGAGAAGGAACACCAGAGGCGAAGGCGCAUUCCUGGCCAAUUAUUGACGCUGAGGCGCGAAAGCGUGGGGAUCAAACAGGAUUAGAUACCCUGGUAGUCCACGCUGUAAACGAUGUGCACUAGAUGUGGGGAUGUGUCCAUUUCCGCGUCAAAGCUAACGCAUUAAGUGCACCGCCUGGGGAGUACGGUCGCAAGACUAAACUCAAAGGAAUUGACGGGGGCCCGCACAAGCGGUGGAUUAUGUGGUUUAAUUCGAAGCAACGCGCAGAACUUUACCUAGGCUUGAAAUCCCGGGAAGAUCGGCCAAAACUGAUUGUGCCCUUCGGAGAACUCGGUGACAGGCGCUGCAUGGCUGUCGUCAGCUCGUGUCGUGAGAUGUUGGGUUAAGUCUCGCAACGAGCGCAACCCCUAUCCUUAGUUGCCAGCAUUAAGUUGGGCACUCUAGGGAGACUGCCUGGGUUAACCAGGAGGAAGGUGGGGAUGACGUCAAGUCCUCAUGGCCCUUAUGUCCAGGGCUACACACGUAAUACAAUGGUGCAUACAUAGGGACGCGACCCCGCGAGGGUGAGCAAAUCUCAAAAAGUGCAUCUCAGUCCGGAUUGGAGUCUGCAACUCGACUCCAUGAAGUUGGAAUCGCUAGUAAUCGCGGAUCAGCACGCCGCGGUGAAUACGUUCCCGGGCCUUGUACACACCGCCCGUCA